UUUCAGGGUCCGAGUUGUAAUUUGUAGAAGAUGCUUCGGGUGUGGCUCCGGUCUAAGUUCCUUGGAACAGGACGUCAUAGAGGGUGAGAAUCCCGUAUGUGACUGGUUGCCUUCGCCCAUGUGAAGCUCUUUCGACGAGUCGAGUUGUUUGGGAAUGCAGCUCAAAAUGGGUGGUAAAUUUCAUCUAAAGCUAAAUAUUGGCCAGAGACCGAUAGCGCACAAGUAGAGUGAUCGAAAGAUGAAAAGCACUUUGGAAAGAGAGUUAAACAGUACGUGAAAUUGUUGAAAGGGAAGCGCUUGCAACCAGACUUGCAUGUUGCCGAUCAUCUGGGGUUCUCUCCAGUGCACUCGGUUGCGUUCAGGCCAGCAUCGGUUUGGGUGGUUGGAUAAAGGCUGUGGGAAUGUAGCUUCUCUCGGGGAGUGUUAUAGCCCACGGUGCAAUGCAGCCUACCUGGACCGAGGACCGCGCUUCGGCUAGGAUGCUGGCGUAAUGGUUGUAAGCGACCCGUCUUGAAACACGGACCAAGGAGUCUAACAUCUAUGCGAGUGUUUGGGUGUCAAACCCAUACGCGUAAUGAAAGUGAACGGAGGUGAGAACCCUUAAGGGUGCAUCAUCGACCGAUCCUGAUGUCUUCGGAUGGAUUUGAGUAAGAGCAUAGCUGUUGGGACCCGAAAGAUGGUGAACUAUACCUGAAUAGGGUGAAGCCAGAGGAAACUCUGGUGGAGGCUCGCAGCGGUUCUGACGUGCAAAUCGAUCGUCAAAUUUGGGUAUAGGGGCGAAAGACUAAUCGAACCAUUGACUACUAGGUGGUUAAGAGGGUGUAGCAACGUGUGCCCUAGUUGCAAGACAACACUGUCAAAUUGUUCGGGGAAGUCCCGUCAAAUAUUCAACUACCGCAGCUGCUUCGAAAGGACAGUGCGCACCGGGUUAGCGACCUCGGGAAUGGUAAUAACGUUGAGUUAGGGAUUAUCCGCAGCCAAGUCCUACGGGUCGCCAGACCUACGGAUGCAGUUCACAGACUCAACGGCAGUGGGCCAGUGUAUUCUCACAGGCUUAAGAUAGAGUCGAACCCCCAGGAGACUGGUGUGGUCACAGGGCAGGAGCCUGAAAGCUAGUAGCUGGUUCCUGCCGAAGUUUCCCUCAGGAUAGCAGUGUUGAAUUCAGUUUUAUGAGGUAAAGCGAAUGAUUAGAGGCCUUGGGGUUGAAACAACCUUAACCUAUUCUCAAACUUUAAAUAUGUAAGAAGUCCUUGUUACUUAAUUGAACGUGGACAUUCGAAUGUACCAACACUAGUGGGCCAUUUUUGGUAAGCAGAACUGGCGAUGCGGGAUGAACCGAACGUGAAGUUAAGGUGCCGGAAUAUACGCUCAUCAGACACCACAAAAGGUGUUAGUUCAUCUAGACAGCAGGACGGUGGCCAUGGAAGUCGGAAUCCGCUAAGGAAUGUGUAACAACUCACCUGCCGAAUGAACUAGCCCUGAAAAUGGAUGGCGCUUAAGCGUAUUACCCAUACUUCACCGCC
rnacentral:rRNA from 2 species